AGAACUCACAUACCUGUAUCCUGUAGAAGAAAAGAAAAAAUAUGGUAAAGGGUGUUUACUUUCCGAGCAUUGAUGGAUGCCUGCUAUGUGCCAAGCUCCCUUCCAGGUUCUAUCUUUGGACCUACUGGAAUAGCAUCUAUCAGCUCUUAAGGUCUAGGAAGAGGUGGAUUGAGGCCAGCACUGGUGGGACUUUGAGAAAGGCUCUUUCUGUGGCAGAUGCCUUGGAUGCUGCUUGGACCAGCCUGGGCCAUGGAGCACAUGAGAAGUUCACGUUUGGCAGCUCCACCCAAACGUUGUGAAGUUGAGUAGCAGCUGUUCCUCAAAGAAGGACAUUUGUGUCACCUGAAGAAUAGGAAGAAAUGCUUUGCAGAGAGAAGCGACAUGUGACCCAGAAACUUUUAACCAAGACAGCUAAGACAAGCACUGGACUCUGGCACCCGGGAGCUCUGUUUGCUUUUGCUGAGUGAUCCUGUACACCAACCACCCCACCAACAGUGGCUUAAAAGACAGGCAUUUCUUUUCUUCUUCUUCUGGCUGCUCUGGCUGGCUGCUCUGAAGGCCAUCUGGAUGAGGCUCUAGGCUACAGGGCAUGUUCAGAUCUGCUCCCUUUAUCUCACUCUGGAACCCCGCUGAGAGGGCAAUGGCUACCUGGAGGUGUUCUUGUUAUGAUGAUCACUAGAGCACCUAAGGGCCAGGCCAGGCAUGCAAAUUGAGGGCUCAGCUCAGGACCUAGCUGCUAAUAUGCCAAGCCCUUGAUUGCGGUUCCAGCACCUGCCAAGAUUACAUACCCUAGGAAGGAGAAACCAGCCCAGUGUCCGUAGGAGCUUAAGAAACGAGUCUACUC